rnacentral:rRNA from 1 species
UGCUACAAUGGCGAGUACAAUAGGCAGCCGAGCCGCGAGGCCUAGCUAAUCCCCAAAGCUCGUCUUAGUCCGAAUUGCAGUCUGCAACUCGACUGCAUGAAGUCGGAAUCGCUAGUAAUCGCAGAUCAGCAAUGCUGCGGUGAAUACGUUCCCGGGCCUUGUACACACCGCCCGUCACACCAUGGAAGUCGGCUGCACCAGAAGAGGCUAGUCCAACCCCCAGCUUCGGCUAGGGGAAGACGGUCUCCACGGUGUGGUCGAUGACUGGGGUGAAGUCGUAACAAGGUAA